AGCUAAUAUUUAUUAUUUUAAUUUUCAGAUGGUGACCCAGAUAACUAUAUUGCUUACUAUCGGAGAGCUACUGUCUUUUUAGCUAUGGGCAAAUCAAAAGCAGCACUUCCUGAUUUAACUAAGGUGAUUGAACUGAAGAUGGAUUUUACUGCAGCAAGAUUACAGAGAGGUCACUUAUUACUCAAACAAGGAAAACUUGAUGAAGCAGAAGAUGAUUUU